rnacentral:rRNA from 1 species
GAUGAACGCUGGCGGCGUGCCUAAUACAUGCAAGUCGAGCGAACAGACGAGGAGCUUGCUCCUCUGACGUUAGCGGCGGACGGGUGAGUAACACGUGGAUAACCUACCUAUAAGACUGGGAUAACUUCGGGAAACCGGAGCUAAUACCGGAUAAUAUAUUGAACCGCAUGGUUCAAUAGUGAAAGACGGUUUUGCUGUCACUUAUAGAUGGAUCCGCGCCGCAUUAGCUAGUUGGUAAGGUAACGGCUUACCAAGGCGACGAUGCGUAGCCGACCUGAGAGGGUGAUCGGCCACACGGGAACUGAGACACGGUCCAGACUCCUACGGGAGGCAGCAGUAGGGAAUCUUCCGAAAUGGGCGAAAGCCUGACGGAGCAACGCCGCGUGGGUGAUGAAGUUCUUCGGAUCGUAAAACUCUGUUAUUAGGGAAGAACAAAUGUGUAAGUAACUAUGCACGUCUUGACGGUACCUAAUCAGAAAGCCACGGCUAACUACGUG